rnacentral:rRNA from 1 species
AUAACAUAUUGAACCGCAUGGUUCAAUAGUGAAAGGCGGCUUUGCUGUCACUUAUAGAUGGAUCCGCGCCGUAUUAGCUAGUUGGUAAGGUAACGGCUUACCAAGGCAACGAUACGUAGCCGACCUGAGAGGGUGAUCGGCCACACUGGAACUGAGACACGGUCCAGACUCCUACGGGAGGCAGCAGUAGGGAAUCUUCCGCAAUGGGCGAAAGCCUGACGGAGCAACGCCGCGUGAGUGAUGAAGGUCUUCGGAUCGUAAAACUCUGUUAUCAGGGAAGAACAAAUGUGUAAGUAACUGUGCACAUCUUGACGGUACCUGAUCAGAAAGCCACGGCUAACUACGUGCCAGCAGCCGCGGUAAUACGUAGGUGGCAAGCGUUAUCCGGAAUUAUUGGGCGUAAAGCGCGCGUAGGCGGUUUUUUAAGUCUGAUGUGAAAGCCCACGGCUCAACCGUGGAGGGUCAUUGGAAACUGGAAAACUUGAGUGCAGAAGAGGAAAGUGGAAUUCCAUGUGUAGCGGUGAAAUGCGCAGAGAUAUGGAGGAACACCAGUGGCGAAGGCGACUUUCUGGUCUGUAACUGACG